AUUGAACGCUGGCGGCAGGCCUAACACAUGCAAGUCGAGCGGAGCGGCGGACGGGUGCGUAUUGCCUAGGAAUUUGCACGUUAGUGGUGGCUAACGAUCGGUAACGGGCGCCAAUACCACAUACUAUCAGAUGUGCAUAGGCCGGAUUAGCUUGGUGGUGGGGUAAAGGCCUACCAAGGCGAAGAUCCGUAACUGGGCUGAGAGGACGAUCAGCCACACUGGAAAGGAGACACGGUCCAGACUCCUACGUGAGGCAGCAGUGGGGAAUAUUGGACAAUGGGCGAAAGCCUGAUCCAGCAAUGCCGCGUGUGUGAAGAAGGUCUUCGGAUUGUAAAGCACUGUAGGUUGGGAGGCGUUACCAACAGAAUAAGCAACGGCUAACUACGUGCCAGCCGCCGCGGUAAUUC
rnacentral:rRNA from 1 species